rnacentral:rRNA from 1 species
GAUGAACGCUGGCGGCGUGCCUAAUACAUGCAAGUCGAGCGAACAGACUAUUAUCUUGCUCCUCUCACGUUUGCCUCGGACGGGUUAGUAACACGUGGAUAACCUCCCUAUAAGACUGGGAUAACUUCGGGAAUCCGGAUCUAAUACCGGAUCAUAUAUUGCACCGCAUGGUUCAAUAGUGAAAGACGGUUUUGCUGUCACUUCUAGAUGGAUCCGCGCCGCCUUGGCUAGUUGGUAAGGUAACGGCUUCCCAAGGCGACGAUGCGUAGCCGUCCUGAGAGGGUGGUAGGACACACGGGAACGGAGACACGGUCCAGACGCCUAAGGUAGGCAGCAGUAGGGAAUCUUACGCAAGGGGCGAAAGCCGGACGGAGCAAAGAGGCGUGAGUGAUGAAGGUGUUAGGAUCGGAAAACUAUGUUAUGAGGGAAGAACAAAUGUGUAAGUAACAAUGCAGGUAUUGACGGUACCUAAUCAGAAAGCCACGGCUAACUACGUG